UAACGGGUCCGAUGAAAAGGGAAACAGGUGAAAAUCCUGUACGAUCUCGUCACCGUGAUAAAUGAGCAGAGGGAAAUAUGCCACUGAGGAAUCGGGAAGGCUCCUUUCUGUGAUGAAGUUUAAGUCGGGAGACCUGCCUGCUGUUU
rnacentral:ncRNA from 1 species